rnacentral:sRNA from 1 species
AGAAAUGAUGAGAGAAAGGGAAGGGGGGAGAAGUGGUUGUAUCAGCUGAUAGGAACAGCUGACUUGAUUACGUCGAAUGUUGUCGUCUGCUAGGCAUUGAGUGUCAGGAUUCAAAGAGUUUCCUUUAUUAUUAUUGGUAAAUCGUAACAGUUUCCGAUGCAGGCAGUGUACGCUAGCCAAGUGUGUAUCCUGUCUGCUGUGUACAUUUCGUAUUGAAGGAUUGUAGUGUAUAAUUAUUGUGUUAAUGUGUGUUCAGUUUGCUGUAGUAAAGCCAACAGCUGAGCCUUCAGGCAACGGCCCGUGUAGUGUACUCUCUGUGACUGGCCUACACUCUGCUGUGUAUGUCGACAGACGCAUCAGAAAGUUCUGACAAUCGCUGGAACAUAUCGUGUGUUUCACUCGCAUGUUGGACUACAAGGACAAGCAGCUUUGAUAUUAAAUUGAAAAGUGCAGUGAUGCAGAACUAACCGCUUUGAAGAGAAAGAAAAUAAAAAGAAGAAAUAUCA